rnacentral:rRNA from 1 species
UACGUAGGCAGCGAGCGUUGUUCGGAAUUACUGGGCGUAAAGAGUGUGUAGGCGGUGCUCUAAGUUCGGUGUGAAAUCUCCUGCUUAACUGGGAGGGUGCGCCGGAAACUGGAGUGCUCGAGCGUGGGAGAGGAAAGCGGAAUUCCUGGUGUAGCGGUGAAAUGCGUAGAGUAUCAGGAGGAACACCUGUGGUGUAGACGGCUUUCUGGACCAUAGCUGACGCUGAGACACGAAAGCGUGGGUAGCAAACAGG